UACGUAGGGGCUAGCGUUAUCCGGAUUUACUGGGCGUAAAGGGUGCGUAGGCGGUCUUUCAAGUCAGGAGUGAAAGGCUACGGCUCAACCGUAGUAAGCUCUUGAAACUGUGAGACUUGAGUGCAGGAGAGGAGAGUGGAAUUCCUAGUGUAGCGGUGAAAUUCGUAGAUAUUAGGAGGAACACCAGUUGCGAAGGCGGCUCUCUGGACUGUAACUGACACUGAGGCACGAAAGCGUGGGGAGCAAACAGGAUUAGAUACCCCCGGUAGUCCCUGA
rnacentral:rRNA from 1 species